GCUGAGGAUAGAGCUCAGUGGUAGAGUGCCUGCUUAGCAUGCAUGAAGCCCUGGGUUCAAUCCCCAGCACAGAA
rnacentral:tRNA from 1 species